rnacentral:rRNA from 1 species
ACGGGAGGCAGCAGUGAGGAAUAUUGGUCAAUGGGCGGAAGCCUGAACCAGCCAAGUAGCGUGCAGGAUGACGGCCCUAUGGGUUGUAAACUGCUUUUAUAUGGGGAUAAAAAAGAGUACGUGUACUUUCUUGCAGGUACCAUAUGAAUAAGGACCGGCUAAUUCCGUGCCAGCAGCCGCGGUAAUACGGAAGGUCCAGGCGUUAUCCGGAUUUAUUGGGUUUAAAGGGUGCGCAGGCGGCACGUUAAGUCAGCGGUGAAAUGUCGGGGCUCAACCCGGGCACUGCCGUUGAAACUGGCGAGCUUGAGUACGGAUGAAGUCGGCGGAAUGUGAUGUGUAGCGGUGAAAUGCUUAGAUAUGUCACAGAACACCGAUUGCGAAGGCAGCUGACUAAUCCGCAACUGACGCUCAGGCACGAAAGCGUGGGGAUCGAACAGGAUUAGAUACCCUGGUA